rnacentral:rRNA from 1 species
UGCGUAGGCGGGUCUUUAAGUCAGGGGUGAAAUCCUGGAGCUCAACUCCAGAACUGCCUUUGAUACUGAGGAUCUUGAGUUCGGGAGAGGUGAGUGGAACUGCGAGUGUAGAGGUGAAAUUCGUAGAUAUUCGCAAGAACACCAGUGGCGAAGGCGGCUCACUGGCCCGAUACUGACGCUGAGGCAAAGACUGGGGAGGCAAAC